AGAAGCCGGGAGAACCUGAAGGGGUCGGCAGAUUGUACCACUGCGACAGGAAUGGUGGCGCAACACCGCCGCCGGGGGGGAACGGAGCGGGAAAUACUACUGCCGAGUGAGAAACCACCACUACUCAUGUACUCUGGUCAGUUUGGAGCCCAUUCCAUACAGUGUUCUACAAAGACAGACUUCUCUGAGCAUCCAGACUGAAGUCAGUGUGGCUGACUGUAAGAGUCCAUCACCAAUCUAUCUCUUCCACUUCAAGGUAAGCUGUCCAUAUGGAAAAAGUAACAGUUGAGGCUGCCAGACCAGUGGAGGCAGCUUAGAAACAGUUUCAACUACAUAUGAUUAUGACAGGCUUCACAAUGGUAAUCAACAGAUAAUAAAUGGGGCAUUGUUUAUUGCUGCCCACUUGUGAUUCAGUGGCUCCACCUUACACAGAGCUGUCACUCUCCAGGAACUGCAUAACUACUCACUGCUCUUAGUUCAUAUUGAAGAAGAAAAAAAUAAGUAAAGAAGGUAUACUGUCAGGGUCUUUUGUAAAAACAAACAUUCCGCUUGCAGUAUAAAAUCCUGGAGUUUUGCAGAAUGGGCUCUGAAUGUACUCUGAACCCAAGGCAUACAGUUUUCUCUCUCAGCCUAGAGCCUACCUUUUUUUUUUUUUUUUUUCAUUUAUUUUGUACCUGUAAAGAAUGAGUUUAAAAUACUUUAAAGGUGCUUUGUGCGGCCCGUUUUGAGAAAACUCGAGAAAAAUCAGCCAUUCAAGAGUAUUUUCACUGAACUUUGAUCUUUAUGUACUUACACAACGCAAUCUGGUGUUACACACACAGAACUUCUAAUCACCUUUGAACUACAGUCAAAGAUAAAGAUUCAGGGAAUUUAUCAUAGCUGGAUUCCAAAGGACAAAGUUGAAAGCUUUAUAGCAGAUAGAGAUUUCAGUGAACUUCUGUUCUGCAGAAAUGAAGCAACAAAUGCAAGCAGGCAACAGAGAACUCUGGUCUUUUCUCAUGUGCUACAUCACAAGAUAGAUAAAACAGGAGGAUAUCAAAAUACCACAUCUGAAAGUAAUCAAUACCAGCACUGCAAGCCAGAUAUAGUAACACUACACAGAAAAGGUUUUAAGGACUUUGUAUCUGCUUCCACCAGACUGCUGAAAGUAGAAUUUCCAAACACUGUUUUUAAUCUAAAGGUUUGUAUCAACUGAAUAACCCAUUUAGGGCAAGUGUAAACAAAUACUGUACCCUUCACAAUUUAA